rnacentral:rRNA from 1 species
GCCAGACUCCUACGGGAGGCAGCAGUGAGGAAUAUUGGUCAAUGGCCGGGAGGCUGAACCAGCCAAGUCGCGUGAGGGAAGACGGCCCUACGGGUUGUAAACCUCUUUUGUCAGGGAGCAAGGUGCAGGUCGGGACCUGCUGUGAGAGUACCUGAAGAAAAAGCAUCGGCUAACUCCGUGCCAGCAGCCGCGGUAAUACGGAGGAUGCGAGCGUUAUCCGGAUUUAUUGGGUUUAAAGGGUGCGCAGGCGGAGGUGCAAGUCAGCGGUCAAAUUGCGGGGCUCAACCCCGUACUGCCGUUGAAACUGCAUCCCUUGAGUGCGCGAGAAGUAUGCGGAAUGCGUGGUGUAGCGGUGAAAUGCAUAGAUAUCACGCAGAACUCCGAUUGCGAAGGCAGCAUACCGGCGCGCAACUGACGCUCAUGCACGAAAGCGUGGGUAUCGAACAGGAUUAGAUACCCCCGUACG